CCACAAACUACACUCGUAGCGCCAGGUAUGAAUAGGUUUUCGGACAGGGGUUCAAUUCCCCUCGCCUCCACCA
rnacentral:tmRNA from 1 species